UACGAAGGGGGCUAGCGUUGCUCGGAAUUACUGGGCGUAAAGGGCGCGUAGGCGGGUAUUUAAGUUGGGGGUGAAAUCCCGGGGCUCAACCUCGGAAUUGCCUUCAAAACUGGAUAUCUUGAGUUCGGGAGAGGUGAGUGGAACUCCGAGUGUAGAGGUGAAAUUCGUAGAUAUUCGGAAGAACACCAGUGGCGAAGGCGACUCACUGGCCCGAUACUGACGCUGAGGCGCGAAAGCGUGGGGAGCAAACAGG
rnacentral:rRNA from 1 species